rnacentral:misc_RNA from 1 species
GAUGAAGAACGUAGCGAAAUGCGAUAAUUAAUGUGAAUUGCAGAAUUCCGUGAAUCAUCGAGUCUUUGAACGCACAUUGCGCCUCAUGGCAUUCCGUGAGGCAUGCCCAUCUCAGCGUUAGAAAAUAUUCUCAAAUUUUAGUUUUGUGCUAAAAUUUGGAUCAUGUCAAGGAAGCUAUUACUAUUAUUGUGAUCGCUCUUUGGAAAUUGAUAGGUCUUUGAGUUGCUACUCAUAGAACGUGAUGAAUCUUUCUUCGUUCUAUUGUAAUACACUCUGGUAGUCCUAAAACUUGUAUGCCUGUGGCAUAUCUUGUAAUUUGACCUGAGAUUGGGUAGGGAUACCCGCUGAACUUAAGCAUAUCAAUAAGCGGAGGA